rnacentral:rRNA from 1 species
GUAUCAUUAAGUGAAUACAUAGCUUAAUGAAGGUAACCCAGGGAACUGAAACAUCUAAGUACCUGGAGGAAGAGAAAGAAAAAUCGAUUUUCUUAGUAGCGGCGAGCGAAAGGGAAAGAGCCCAAACCGGAAACUUGUUUCCGGGGUUGUGGACAGAACAUAACGAUUGGUAGGACGUAAUCGAAGAGAACUGGAAAGUUCCACCGUAGAAGGUAAUAGUCCUGUAGAUGAAACGGGAAAUCAAUUAGUUCUGAUCCAGAGUACCACGAGACACGUGAAACCUUGUGGGAAGCAGGGAGGACCACCUCCCAAGGCUAAAUACUACCUGAUGACCGAUAGUGAAGCAGUACCGUGAGGGAAAGGUGAAAAGAACCCCGGGAGGGGAGUGAAAUAGAACCUG